rnacentral:rRNA from 1 species
GUCGAGCGAACAGACGAGGAGCUUGCUCCUCUGACGUUAGCGGCGGACGGGUGAGUAACACGUGGAUAACCUACCUAUAAGACUGGGAUAACUUCGGGAAACCGGAGCUAAUACCGGAUAAUAUAUUGAACUGCAUGGUUCAAUAGUGAAAGACGGUUUUGCUGUCACUUAUAGAUGGAUCCGCGCCGCAUUAGCUAGUUGGUAAGGUAACGGCUUACCAAGGCAACGAUGCGUAGCCGACCUGAGAGGGUGAUCGGCCACACUGGAACUGAGACACGGUCCAGACUCCUACGGGAGGCAGCAGUAGGGAAUCUUCCGCAAUGGGCGAAAGCCUGACGGAGCAACGCCGCGUGAAUGAUGAAGGUCUUCGGAUCGUAAAACUCUGUUAUUAGGGAAGAACAAAUGUGUAAGUAACUAUGCACGUCUUGACGGUACCUAAUCAGAAAGCCACGGCUAACUACGUGCCAGCAGCCGCGGUAAUACGUAGGUGGCAAGCGUUAUCCGGAAUUAUUGGGCGUAAAGCGCGCGUAGGCGGUUUUUUAAGUCUGAUGUGAAAGCCCACGGCUCAACCGUGGAGGGUCAUUGGAAACUGGAAAACUUGAGUGCAGAAGAGGAAAGUGGAAUUCCAUGUGUAGCGGUGAAAUGCGCAGAGAUAUGGAGGAACACCAGUGGCGAAGGCGACUUUCUGGUCUGUAACUGACGCUGAUGUGCGAAAGCGUGGGGAUCAAACAG